AACGCGAAGAACCUUACCUACUCUUGACAUCCAGAGAACUUAGCAGAGAUGCUUUGGUGCCUUCGGGAACUCUGAGACAGGUGCUGCAUGGCUGUCGUCAGCUCGUGUUGUGAAAUGUUGGGUUAAGUCCCGCAACGAGCGCAACCCUUAUCCUUUGUUGCCAGCGGUUCGGCCGGGAACUCAAAGGAGACUGCCAGUGAUAAACUGGAGGAAGGUGGGGAUGACGUCAAGUCAUCAUGGCCCUUACGAGUAGGGCUACACACGUGCUACAAUGGCAUAUACAAAGAGAAGCGACCUCGCGAGAGCAAGCGGACCUCAUAAAGUAUGUCGUAGUCCGGAUCGGAGUCUGCAACUCGACUCCGUGAAGUCGGAAUCGCUAGUAAUCGUGGAUCAGAAUGCCACGGUGAAUACGUUCCCGGGUCUUGUACACACCG
rnacentral:rRNA from 1 species